CCGUUUUGUGACCACUUUGCUUGUCUCUGUCUCAGAUAAGGGAAGAGAGUACAUUAGCACUUCUCAGUUUCCAAGUGUAACCCUCUGGUGGAGUAAAUUGAGCUGUCAGGGAGUAAAACUACAGCACACCCUCACCACAGCCUUUAGCAACAAAUAGACUAUAAAGAGUGUUCCCAGGAGGUGCUAGCUGGUUAGGGGUGAGGUAGAACUCAGGUGACUGAGCCUAUUAAUUCCCAUGUUCCCAGACCACAACAUCCUGAAGUACUAGCAUUUCUAUUACACAUUUUUAAGAAACAGGACGAGAGUGAUCCCCACAUUGGUAAAUUGUAAAUCAAAUACCGUUAAGGUUAUUUUGUGGGGGGGGCGGGGGGGGGAGGGAAACAACAACAACAAAAACAUGCAAAAAGAAAAAAAAUUAAUCCAUGUGUUUUGAGUCUUGAUAACAAUGUCUUGAUAACUGUUUCUUGUCCUGCCUAUGCUUAAAACUUUCCCAUCUGCCUAGAUACCCUAGCAUGUGAAUAUAUGCACAGGUAGCAGAGGCCACACACAUCUGAGUGCAUGUGCUGGUGACCACAGAGCUGCUGUAUUUUCUCCCUGAAUUAACUGCUCUUGAAAACAGUACUACAGAAGUGUACAGUGGAAGACUAUACUGAAAGACUGCUGAAAUCCAAGGCCUACAUCUAUAGGGUUGUACGGAUCAAUACUUUAUGCUUCUGUCAGCAGUGUCAUAGAAACAAGUUGCCCUGGAGAUACCCCAGCUUCUCUGAUGAGCGUUCACCCGUGGAGCAGCUCUUUUGGAACCCUCCUGAGAACAAUUCUCUGCUUUCUGUGGCCAUCAUUCUUCAUGUCUUGCUCACAGAAGCUAAUGUGGGUAUAGCACAUGUGAGUACCCAUGCUGCACUGAGUUGAUUUGAACAUAUGACUGCAGGAUAUUUUUUCAUAUCAUGCAAGUCAACAGGGAUCCUGGAGUAAAUUCAACUGUAACAAGACCAAGUUUUGAAGAAUGCCACUAUCCAGCCACACACAGCAUGGAACGAUAUAUGAGUUGACAGCAGACGUAGAUGGAUGUCUGUUCAGUACCAUCGUUUGAAUGAGCCACUCUGGCCAUAAGACUUCUGUUCAUCUGCCAGUCACAGACACUACACUUUGGAGCUCAACAUCUAUACAAGUGUGAUCAGUCAUAGAUGGAGACAGGGGAACAGCUAUGAACUGAGGGUCUAGAUCAAACAAAAGCCCCUCCAACACAGAAGGAACAAACAUUAGUAGGUGGUUCACUACACCCACAUGGUUCUGUUCCCUAGGAAGCACUCUUUCCUUCUUCUUGGACCAAACUGUUUCCUUCUGUCUGCUGGCUUCUUCCCCUUGAUUUUUUGCUGCCACAGCUUGCCAAAUAUUUCUCUAAUGCCUGUUUGCAACGAGAAAAUCCUUCUGCCUGUUGCCUUAGAUGGUGGUCCUAUUGUUUUAGCUCUGUCCCUCUCAUUGUGUAAAGUCCUGUAAUUGUUCUUUUUGCUGAACUGGAAAUAUGAAUGCUUAACAUAUGCUGAAACCA